rnacentral:rRNA from 1 species
AAACAAUGAAUGCAGAGUACAUACAACAUUCCGCCCGGGUACUACAAGCAAGAAGCUCGAAACCCAAAGGACUUGGCGGUGCUUUAUAUCCACCUAGAGGAGCCUGUUCUAUAACCGAUACCCCCCGUUAAACCUCACCCUCUCUCGCCCUUACAGCCUAUAUACCGCCGUCGUCAGCCCACCUUAUGAAAGACUAACAGUGAGCAAAGUUGGCACAGCCCAAAAAGUCAGGUCGAGGUGUAGCCCAUGAGAGGGGAAGAAAUGGGCUACAUUCGCUACCACCAGCGCAUACGAAUAAUGUAUUGAAACAUACUAUUGAAGGAGGAUUUAGCAGUAAGCAGGAGAAAUAGAGCGUCCU